GAUGCGACAGAAACCCAUAUGACUCUGCAAUGUCUGUACUCGUGUGGCUUAUUUCAGCCCCAUAGAACACAUCCUUAGCCAUAACAUCGGCGUCUUUUUAUAUUUUGGGAACUCCAGAGCAAGUCCUGUACCACACAAUGAAGAUCUAUUGAGUUUACAUCUCCAGUCAUACUGUGUCUUUAACAUGUUCUUCUUCUACAAAGCUCUAUUGCUUGUUUUGCAGGGCUAAGCCAGAGUGAGUCAGUGGAAUGCAAAUGAUGACUACUACAGUCGUUCUGGAAAUAUUUAAAUCUCUCUGCGCUGCAUUGCAGAUUUCCUG